GUUAGUAUAGUGGACAGUAUCUCCGCCUGUCAUGCGGAAGACAGGGGUUCGAGACUCCCUGUUUAUACA